ensembl:snoRNA
ACCCUUUUCUGGUUCAUAGCAUGAUGAUGGAGUAUUCACAUGUCUGUGUAACAUGUGCCUCCCUUAAAUCGGUUAGAUUUUUGGCACACUAGCCUUAUCUGAUG